GUUCAUUCCUGAACAUAUAACAAAACUGGAACAAUACAGAGAAGAUUAGCAUGGCUCCUGCGCAAGGAUGACAAUAAAAAAAAAUUGUGGCUCGAGCAGGUUCCACAUUUAC
rnacentral:snRNA from 1 species